AUGCGUCAUGCCUCAGGCUCAGAUCCUGCCUGGAAAAUGUCAGAUGAAUUUUUGUUGGCAUAUGUGCUACCUGAACAGUCCCCUGCCAGAACCUUUGCUGUGAGCAAUCCAAAAGCUGGCCAAGCUCCUCAAGGCUGGCCAGGCUCCAACCCUCGGAGUAACCUAAGUGCUCCACCUGCUGUGCUAUCUGGACUCUCCCCAAGUACAGCACCCUCCACUUUGCCUUUUGGACCAGCACCAACAGGAAUUUAUCCUUCCAUCCCUCUGACUGGACCAUCACCAGGUUCCCCACCACCCUUUCUUCCUUCUGAACUGUCAUGUCCCCAACCCAGUGGUCCUUAUCCAGCCCCUGUCGUAAGAGGCCCUGGUCCCAUAGGGCCGUAUGCUACACCAAAUAUGCACCUUCCAGAGCUACCUAGGCAAUAUGGUGCACCCACAGAUCCAGCUGCAGCUGCUACUUCAGUGUCAGGAGCACCACCUGUUCCAUGGGGCACUGUGCCACCAGGACCCUGGGGACCACCAGCACCAUAUCCUGACCCUGAAGGAUCAUAUUCCAUGCCAGGACCUCAUCCUACUCUGAAUAAUCCUUACCAAGUAACAUCAGGACCUUCUGGUACCCCACCAAUACCUGGUGACCCCCGUGAAGUGAAUGAAGUCCCAGGGGGGUCCCGUCCUGAUACAUCCAACCAGGAGAGCACCCCAGAGACCACUGGACAAAUGAAGCAACUGAAGGUAGAUGACAAACCCAUCAAGAGGAGACGGUCCAAAAAGAAGAGUAAGCCGGUAACUUGGGGAGACAUCAAGACAUUAACUCAUGAAGCUGAGACCUUGGGGAAACAGCAAGGACACAAUACUGCUGACCCCAAAAUGAUGCUGUUAUGUUUAAUGACUAUACUACAUGUUAAUUCUCAGCGUGGGAAUGCAGAAUCCAAAUGAAUUGUCAGCAGUAAUAAAUGGCACACUGUAAUAAACAGUAUGAUGUUGUUUUGUCAAAAAAAAAAAAAAGGAAAAAACAAAAAUAAAAAACCCCAUCACCAUCAGUCAACUGUUUUGUUCUGGGCUUUGUCCAACUUUGUGGGCUUGGUUGUUAGUGGGUACCUUCAAGAAACAGCUAGGUCCUCAAGUGUCAUCAAUAUACCAGUCAGCGACAAGUUUUAGCCUUCUCUAGAUGCAGAAGACACAGAGCAGUCACAGCUGAAGGCUUCCCAGUAGCCCUAGUUCUCCAUUAGGGUCUGCCCCCAUCCCUCCAGGUCAGUGAUCAGGACCGCAACACUUCCAGCAUUUGUGGUGAAGACCAGGCCUAAACCACUGAGCAUUGUGACACACUGUGAAUGAAGCUUUCCCUGAAGCUUGGCUCUUGCCUUUUGUGGAUGUGGGGGUCAGCCUCUCUAAGACCCCUCACCCUGGACCUUCCAGUUAAACAUUC
rnacentral:lncRNA from 1 species